UUUUAACGUUUACUUCCUCCAAUGGUAAUAUUAAGCUUUUAUAUUUAUUAUAUGUUUUAUUGAAAACUAAAAUAAUAAUUUGGCGUUUUAAAGAGUUCACCACAUUAUUGCAUUUGGGGUCUGUGUGAUCCACAGCAAUAUUGUUGCGGUGAUAAUGUUUGCUGUAAUGAAUCUGAUUUUAAUUCUCUGCUUUUAACGGUCAUCAUUUCUGGAACAGGGUUAUUACUC